rnacentral:rRNA from 1 species
AUCGAACGCUGGCGGCAGGCCUAACACAUGCAAGUCGAACGUGUGGCGGACGGGCGUGUAGUGUCUGGAACACUGCGUGAUGGAGGGGGAAAACCUCUGGAACCGGUAGAAAACCCCGCAAACCAUCAGUUGUGCCCAGGUGGGUUUAGCUUGUGGGUGGGGUAACGGCUCAUCAAGGCGACGACCCCUAGCUGGUCAGAGAGGAUGACCGGCCACACGGGAACUGGGACACGGUCCAGACUCCGACGGGAGGCAGCAGUGGGGAAUAUUGCACAAUGGGCGCAAGCCUGAUGAAGCCAUGCCGCGUGUAUGAAGAAGGCCUUCGGGUUGUAAAGUACUUUCAGCGGGGAGGCGUUACCCGCAGAAGAAGCACCGGCUAACUCCGUGCCAGCAGCCGCGGUAAUUC